AUCGAACGCUGGCGGCAUGCCUUACACAUGCAAGUCGAACGGUAACAGGUCUUCGGAUGCUGACGAGUGGCGAACGGGUGAGUAAUACAUCGGAACGUGCCCGAUCGUGGGGGAUAACGAAGCGAAAGCUUUGCUAAUACCGCAUAAGAUCUACGGAUGAAAGCAGGGGACCGCAAGGCCUUGCGCGAACGGAGCGGCCGAUGGCAGAUUAGGUAGUUGGUGGGAUAAAAGCUUACCAAGCCGACGAUCUGUAGCUGGUCUGAGAGGACGACCAGCCACACUGGGACUGAGACACGGCCCAGACUCCUACGGGAGGCAGCAGUGGGGAAUUUUGGACAAUGGGCGAAAGCCUGAUCCAGCCAUGCCGCGUGCAGGAUGAAGGCCUUCGGGUUGUAAACUGCUUUUGUAAGGAACGAAAAGACUCUGGUUAAUACCUGGGGUCCAUGACGGUACCGUAAGAAUAAGCACCGGCUAACUACGUG
rnacentral:rRNA from 1 species